rnacentral:rRNA from 1 species
AACGAACGCUGGCGGCAUGCCUAACACAUGCAAGUCGAACGAGACCUUCGGGUCUAGUGGCGCACGGGUGCGUAACGCGUGGGAACCGGCCCUUAGGUUCGGAAUAAUUCCCCGAAAGGGGUGCUAAUACCGGAUAAUGUCCUCGGACCAAAGAUUUAUCGCCUUUGGAUGGGCCCGCGUUGGAUUAGCUAGUUGGUAGGGUAAAAGCCUACCAAGGCGACGAUCCAUAGCUGGUCUGAGAGGAUGAUCAGCCACACUGGGACUGAGACACGGCCCAGACUCCUACGGGAGGCAGCAGUGGGGAAUAUUGGACAAUGGGCGAAAGCCUGAUCCAGCAAUGCCGCGUGAGUGAUGAAGGCCUUAGGGUUGUAAAGCUCUUUUACCCGGGAUGAUAAUGACAGUACCGGGAGAAUAAGCUCCGGCUAACUCCGUG